rnacentral:rRNA from 1 species
AUUGAACGCUGGCGGCAUGCCUUACACAUGCAAGUCGAACGGCAGCGGGGGAGAAGCUUGCUUUUCCUGCCGGCGAGUGGCGAACGGGUGAGUAAUACAUCGGAACGUGCCCUGUAGUGGGGGAUAACUAGUCGAAAGAUUAACUAAUACCGCAUACGACCUGAGGGUGAAAGUGGGGGAUCGCAAGACCUCACGCAGUGGGAGCGGCCGAUGGCGGAUUAGCUAGUUGGUGGGGUAAAGGCCUACCAAGGCGACGAUCCGUAGCGGGUCUGAGAGGACGACCCGCCACACUGGAACUGAGACACGGUCCAGACUCCUACGGGAGGCAGCAGUGGGGAAUUUUGGACAAUGGGGGCAACCCUGAUCCAGCCAUUCCGCGUGAGUGAAGAAGGCCUUCGGGUUGUAAAGCUCUUUCGGCAGGAACGAAACGGUAGGCUCUAACAUAGCCUGCUAAUGACGGUACCUGAAGAAGAAGCACCGGCUAACUACGUGCCAGCCGCCGCGGUAA